rnacentral:lncRNA from 13 species
CAUAGUGUCAGACACUUCAGAAGACAAACUUAAAAUCUCUCUCUAAAAACAACAUCUCUAAGGUUAGGAGAAAACACGGUGAACUAACCAUCAGACAUGAAAACAGUAUGCUGUAACAGCUUUUAACUGUAAUCCAUAGCUAUAAUUUGCAUUUACGUGCAUGAGAAGAAAGAGAAAGUGUGGACACGAUAACUCCAUGAAAUGUACUGUAAAGAACACACACACACAAUUAAAGAGUGGCUGCCUCUGAAAAGCAUCUAAUCCCUUUGUAAACGGCCAAUGUGGCAUCGAAAUGAGUCAGAAACAUGUAUUCUAGUGUCAAAAUUGAUUACAAAGUGUAAAUAGGAUCACUUUGGUCAUAAAGUCAGUCUCGUCUCAAACAGAGUUUGGAACCUGAGUGUGUCACAAUGAGCUAAUUGAAGGUUGGGUUUGGAUUACAAUUACGUCAACAAUUCAUGCCCCCUUUUACCAAGCGCCACUCGACUCCUAUGAAAAGGACACACCAUCAUGAGGCCUCUGAUAGUGAUCCGAGUUACUGCCCGGUUGACACAGACGGCUUCAUCAACAACAACAGUUGAUCGAGAGAUGUCCCGUUUGCAGCCGAACAUGCAGCAUAGAGAAUACCAGCAAGAGGGCCCUCAUCAGCAUCAUCCAGACAUGCCCUUGCUGUGAGCAUUCCUAUGAACGGAACAGUCAGCCACAUGCUUGCAAGUAUCCAGCCAGCAACCGUCACGUGACAGCAGCAACAGCUUUCACAGGCUCAUAACUUGUACACAUUUUUUUUAUUGAACUUUUAUUUAACUAGGCAAGUCAGUUAAGAACAAAUUCUUAUUUACAAUGAUGGCCACCCAGGGAACAGCGAGCUAACUGCCUCGUUUAGGGGCAAAACGACAGAUUUUUACCUUGUCAGCUCAAGGAUUCGAUGCAGUAAACUUUCAGUUACUGGCUCAACGCUCUAACCACUAGGCUACCUGCCACCCCAAAUACAGAAGGCCACCCCAAAUACAGAAGGUAACCCAUUCAUUUAUGUAAACUGACAUAUUUUUUUAAAAAUGUUCCUACUUUUUUGAUGCAUACAGAUGUUGGAUCUUA